rnacentral:sRNA from 1 species
CAUUAUCUCAAAAAACAAAAACAAAAAACCCCGAAAUCAACCAAAAUAUUUAAAAAGGAGCAGCAUCUUCCUUCAAGCAGCCUUCUUGCCAUUGUAGCCUAAUAUCAGACAUCACAGAGAGCAGGGCAGAGUCGGAGAAACACCAAGGUCAUGUGUGGGGGCAGCAUCGGGACACAGUGCUAUAAUCUGAUGGUGGCUGAUCACAGAGCCUUUCCUGUGAAACUGCCCAGGUAGAACAGCACAUCCAGUGUGGGGCGGGAGCUUAGCUAGGAGCCCAGCAGAAGCCCACAUCCCAGUAUGAGCAGGCAGAGGCCGUGUGCCUUUCUGUCUAGCUCUCCAGCCACACGGUAGGUGGAGUCAUCUGUAGGCAGCACUGUCCUGUCUGGGCUGUCCUGUCCACUGCCGCACAUCUAGACCAUGUUCAGAACACAGGGACAAGGAGCCACAGGGCAGCUGGCUCUUGUGGGAUCUCUGGGACACUGUUCACCCACCAUGGGCUACCCAGAUACAACUCCUGGUCUCCUUGUCUCUUAGAACUCUUCUCUGUUUUCUGAGGUUCUAAGGUCUCCAGAUAAGCUGGUUGUAGCUUCCAAGAGGAGGAGUUAAACAGACUUUAAAGGUACUGAGACAAGUUUGGGGGCUGCCUCCUUUAGAUGGGAGACAAGUGGCCUCAGCACUACAAUAAAGACUAGAUGCAAAACUAGACUGGCUCGGGGAAUCUCGGGGUCCGGGCGAGCUCUCCUUAGCGAGCUGCUGCCGAGGAGGCCAGGCGCUUCUGGAUACAGGGUCCAACCUCAACCAAGCAGGGGUUGGAGGGAGCAGCUAAGGCAGGCCUCAGGGAAGUGCCCAUACUGAGUGCUAGGGCUACCGAGAACACCUAAGUACUGCCCUACUGUGAGCAGCUAUGGGCCCGCUCACUGGUGGUGGUGGAUGGCAGGAGACAGAGGUAUGGUACUCAAUAACUUCUUUGAGAUCCUGGCAGAAGAGUUCCUAAUCAUCAGGCAAGGUUCCUAUUGCAGUAGGGGACGGCCCAGGCCCAAGCUCGGCCUAUCAGUCAACCGAGGCUCCCACAGACAGAGCCGAGAUUGUCCUAACAGUGUUCAAAGUGGAAGACGUACAAUCACCCAGCUGACUGGUAGUCAUGGCAGCAGACUGCCAUUCCAAGUAAACGCCGAGGACCAGGGGAGCUGAGCCAGUAAGAGUCGAGGGAGGCGCCCGCAAGAUCCUAGGAUCCCGCAGCAACAGGCUCGGAUCUCCCUCGGUGGGGUGGCUGUGGGACCCUGCUCUCGGAAGCAUCCUAGCUUUCAUACAAUAAUACUUAGAUACCAAGUCGUUGACUGCCCGGAAGUACAAAACCACUUCCACCACAGUGAGAAUCCUAAACCAGUGACGUGGAAGUGACCUUCUCCAUAUGCUGUCCUCGUGUUCAGGUACAGAAAAUAAACAGAGCAGGCAGGACGGGGAUGUGGGUCUGGAGUUCUGAGGACUUCAGUGACCACACCCCUAUGUUCUAACAGGAACCCUCAGAGAGGUUACCUGGAAGUCUCUUCAAGACCACGAUAGACAAAUACAAAUCUCUCAGUGAGAGUGCUUCUGUGAUUGUUGCCACGUGUUUGAGAGGGGAACCGGGCCGUGACCUGUCCACACCUGCACACAAUGCCUGCCAAGACACGAUGUGCUGAGGAAGCCAUGUGCAGAGCUUAAGGCUGACGGACAUGUGCUUUUGAAAACUACUGGACAUUUGUGGCCCAGGACUUCUCCCUUGAGGGACAACGUAAGGCUUUUGGUUCAAGUGGCCUUGGAAUCAUGGAAUAUCAGCAGGGAACAGAAACAGAGAGAUGAUCUAGGUGAGUCCAGUGGGUGUCAGAUUUGAGAUCCAUCCAAGUCAUCUUGGAGUGGGGGGGGGGGGUGUUAAAAAAACGCAAAUCCCAGUGCGCAUGCGCACGCCCCUCCCAAGAGAGAUGGUGAUUUACGUGACAAAGCUCAGGAAAAUGCAUUUCCGGUGAGCCCUGCGGUUCAAUCAUCUACACGUGCCUCCUCAUACAAAGAUGGGGGCUAAGAGUGAAGCUGGGGGAAUCCCCCACUUGCUGCUCUUCCCUCUGCCCAGGACAAAAUGGCUCUGGCUCGCUACCAUGCGGAUGGGAGCUGAUAACUGUUGCUGCAUUCCAACUCUUCCCUCUGUUUUCGAGGAUACUUCCGGUCUGUCUCCGGUCCAGACUCAGUGAGGAGGGAGGAAGAGUACCUGGGCAGAAGGGAAGAGCAUAAAGGCACAGCACCUUCGAAGUGACCCAGGUGUCAGGCCUUCUUGCCUCGGUGGCAUUCUCAGUUCCCAUAGGGAUAACAGGGGUCGUCCCCUACACGGUUUGCCAAAAAUCUCACAAAUGAGAACAUGUUUUAUCUCUUCGGUAGAAGUUUUCUUCCACUCACCAACAUUAAUCACCAGAUGCCAAGAAAGGCAAAUAGAGGAGACAAAGCGGCCGGCAUAAAUUACAGCUGAAGGCCCACAGAUAAGAGUAAAGUCAACAGCUCUGUGUACCGCCUCACAUCCCCUCUGGAACUGGAUGGUGGCAUAAAUCUCACGUUAUAAAUAAAUGAGACGUUUCUGCACUGUGUUACACUAACACCAUAAAACACACGCUACGG